rnacentral:rRNA from 1 species
GAUGAACGCUAGCGGCAGGCCUAACACAUGCAAGUCGAGGGGUAGCAGGAUUAAGCUUGCUUAAUUGCUGACGACCGGCGCACGGGUGCGUAACGCGUAUGCAACCUACCUUAUACUGGGGUAUAGCCCGGAGAAAUUCGGAUUAAUCCCCCAUAGUACUAAUGAAUCGCAUGGUUUAUUAGUUAAAGCAUUGCGGUAUAAGAUGGGCAUGCGUCCUAUUAGCUAGAUGGUGAGGUAACGGCUCACCAUGGCUACGAUAGGUAGGGGGCCUGAGAGGGUGGUCCCCCACACUUGUACUGGGACACGGACCAGACUCCUACGGGAGGCAGCAGUGAGGAAUAUUGGUCAAUGGACGCAAGCCUGAACCAGCCAUGCCGCGUGCAGGAAGAAUGCCCUAUGGGUUGUAAACUGCUUUUAUUUGGGAAUAAACCUCUUUACGUGUAGAGAGCUGAAGGUACCAAAUGAAUAAGCACCGGCUAACUCCGUGCCAGCAGCCGCGGUAA